rnacentral:rRNA from 1 species
GACGAGGGAUCCUAGCGUUGUUCGGAAUCAUUGGGCGUAAAGCGGGUGUAGGUGGCUUUGUAAGUCAGGUGUGAAAGCCCAGGGCUCAACCCUGGAAGUGCAUUUGAUACUGCGAAGCUUGAGUGCUGGAGAGGCUACUAGAAUACCUAGUGUAGUGGUGAAAUACGUAGAUAUUAGGUGGAAUACCGGAGGCGAAGGCGGGUAGCCAGCCAGACACUGACACUCAGACCCGAAAGUGUGGGGAUCAAACAGG